UACGGAGGAGGCAAGCGUUAUCCGGAAUUAUUGGGCGUAAAGCGUCCGCAGGUGGCACUUCAAGUCUGUCGUCAAAGACUGGGGCUUAACCCUGGAAAGGCGGUGGAAACUGAAGCGCUAGAGUGUGGUAGGGGUAGAGGGAAUUCCCGGUGUAGCGGUGAAAUGCGUAGAUAUCAAGAGGAACACCUGAGGUGAAGACGGGUUGCUGGGCCGACACUGACGCUGAGUGCGCGAAAGCCAGGGGAGCAAACGGG
rnacentral:rRNA from 1 species